UUUUUUUAUUUUUUUAUUUUUUUUUUUGCUAUUUCUUUGGGCUGCUCCUGCGGCAUAUGGAGGUUCCCAGGCUCGGGGUCUAAUCGGAGCUGUAGCUGCCAGCCUACGCCGGAGCCACAGCAACGCGGGAUCUGAGCCGCGUCUGCAACCUACACCACAGCUCACGGCAACACAGGGAAAGAACUCCUACAGCUCUCAGUUUUCUCUUCUCACUCUAGUCUCGUGGUCACAAACCAUAUCCAACUAUUCUACUACAGAAUUGAAGCCAUGACAGAUAAUGACUACAGUAGGACCACAAUUUAUAAAAACAUCUUAUUAUAAAGUUUAAGUUACUGACUGAGAAUGUGGAGCCAAAAUGUGUUCAUUCGAAAGAGCUCAGGAGUUCUCAUUGUGGCUCAGUGGGUUUAGAACUCAACACAGUCUCCUCCGUGAGAAUGUGGGUUUGCGGCCUGGCCUCACUCAGUGGGCUAAGGAUCCAUGUUGCCACAAGCUGCAGUACAGAUCACAGGUGAGGCUCAGAUGCAGUGUUGCUGUGGCUGUGGCACCCAGGAACUUCCAUACGCCACAGGUACAACUAUAAAAAGAUAAAAAAGGAAAAAAAAAAAAAGACAGCAAGCGAGCUUAAAGGUGUUCACAAGUAGUUCCUUUGUCUAGUUAUCAAUAAAAGUACAAGAAGCAGCUAUCUUUUUCAGAAAGCAGACAGUUAAAGAGAACAAAAAUUCCUAAAGGACAUGACAGUUUAUAAUUAUUUCCCCAAUACUCAUUCAUUACUAUAUCAAACUAUAAUCUUUUUGAUCUUGCACCCCUGGCCAAAAAGGAAUGGGGUGGAGAGAAACAGUCAUUUCCAUGGGAAAUUCACCUCAAAGAGGCAGAAAAAAGAUGGGGUUAACACCAUUUAGCAUAGGAAGAAAUCCACAAACAAGUAUAGAACCACCCAAAGGCAGUAAAAGAACUAAGGUAAAAUUCCAGCUUAACACACAUGAUAAAGCAAAACACAAAAGAGAUUCAGACUUGUCCACUCUUCUCAGCACAACUAAAAAGUCACAGACUAGCAUCUUUUUAAAAAAGCAUUAUCGGCAUUCUCAUCAUGGCUCAGCAGAAAAGAAUCCGACUAGUAUCCAUGAGGACAAAGGUUCAAUCUUUGGCCUCACCCAGUGGGUUAAGGAUCAGGUGUUGCCAUGAGCUGUGGUGCAGGUUGAAGAUGAAACUCAGAUCUGGUGUUGCUGUGGCUAUGGUAUAUAGGCCAGUGGCUACAGCUCCAAUUUGACCCCCAGCCUGGGAACUCCAUGUGCCACAGAUCCGAACCUAAAAGAGACAAAAAAAAAAAAAAAAAGAAAGAAAUUAUCAGCCACAGGAAUUUCCUCCUAAUGGUUUGCAAAUGAAAGCAGAAAAUUUAUCUAUACAUCUACUAUAGCAAUAUUAUUACAGAGGUUUUUCAAGUCAUAACACAACUCUUUGCUGAGACUAGUUAAGAUGGUAAGGCCAAUUAAUAGGUGUCAGCUGCCUAUAUCUUUUUUGGUUUCAAACACUUUAGCCCUCUUUUUGAAAAACAUACAGGAAUAAAGUGUUACCACUUAGCAGGAAAUCUCUGCCUGCAAAGAAAGUGAAUAUUUAUAGACGCGAAGGCUAAAGGGGCUCUCAAAGGAUACCCAGUUUCCUCACAAGGCUGCACCUGUCACAUCUGCUCCAAUCCUUAAACCUGAGAACUGUAUCUCUUCCUCACUUAAAGCUUGUACGGCUAAGUUCAAAAAAGACAACUUGAAUACUUCUCUGUGACAACACAUUUAAUUUAUUUAAUCAUCUAGUAUUAGUUGAAACACAAAUAGGUUACCGCUAAUUCUGAAAACGAAAAAAAAAAAAAGAAUCUAGCUUCCACUGUGCAUUUAAAGAUAUAUAAAUCUGAGAAAUUAUUGUUAAGGCUGACCUAAAAUCAAGAACAGGCAACGAGUAUAACAGUGCAUUAUAACCUCUCGCCAACGUAAACAGUUUAAGGGUAGACAUAUGCUCUUGGUCUAUGACCACAAGGCCACAAGUCCUUUAGUCAAGGAGUGUCCUGAAGUUAAAGAAUGUUUAAGGUGAAUACAUUUAUUUGUUAAGGAAAGAAUGUCUAUUUCACUCUGCAGUAUCUCGCCUCUCAGCAAAUGAGGGUGAGCCGGAAGGGCAGGGGGCUGCGGGCGGGGUGGGGGUUGUUGGAAGAAGAGGCCGAUCUAAAGUGGAGAGCGGAGUCUGUGGGGCAGAGUGUAUCAGAGUGUAGGGUUGCAGCCUCCCUCUAGCUCCACCCUACCUAGAGGUAGUGAUGAAGCACCGGUCGCACGUUAGGAGAAGAACGCAGAAACCCAAAAGCUGCUGUCAAGGAGCAGGGACUAGGGAUGCGGAUUGAGGUAGGGGUAGGAAAGGUGUUAAGGAGGAGAGAGUGAGAAGAGCUAGCUUACUCUUCCUCACCACCUCUAGAGACAGGGCCUAGCCAGAGGCCUGCGACCGAGCAACACCCUAUAGUCGCUACCACCCUAAGGCCCCAACUUGGACCUCUAGGGUCAGAACCCGCCAGGUGCUGAGCGCAUGCGCACCGCGUCGCCAGGCCGCAACUUCCCAGCUCACCCCACCCCACUAGCCGCCGCCGCCGCCGCCUCCUCCCGGGCACAGACAGUAUCGGGCCCGCACUGCCUCUCGCCGGAGCAGGGCCUCGGAACCUCUCAGCCGCGGGCGCCGCCUCCCAGGCCCCAGACUCGGGUAUCACCUGGAUCUCGGCCUUCGGGUUUACACCUCCUGUAGACUUGCAAGGGCCUCAGACCUGGAAACGUUUCUUCAAAUCUGGGCGCCGCCGGCGUCCUCCGAACUUGCUUCAGUUUAAGCUCACCGCCUUCCUG
rnacentral:lncRNA from 1 species